CAGUCGCCGCGGGAAUACGAAGGGUGCAAGCGUUGUCCGGAAUCACUGGGCGUAAAGGGCGUGUAGGCGGCCUGGGGCGUCCCAUGUGAAAGGCCACGGCUCAACCGUGGAGGAGCGUGGGAUACGCUCAGGCUAGAGGGUGGGAGAGGGUGGUGGAAUUCCCGGAGUAGCGGUGAAAUGCGCAGAUACCGGGAGGAACGCCGAUGGCGAAGGCAGCCACCUGGUCCACUUCUGACGCUGAGGCGCGAAAGCGUGGGGAGCAAACCGGAUUAGAUACCCCCGUAGUCCCUGUCUCUUAUAC
rnacentral:rRNA from 1 species